CAUAAAUUUUGACUGGAAGAGUGGAGCCUAGACGCGGCAAAGAAGAGAAAACCCCAAGGUCCCCACAUUGCUGCAGUACUGACGCCAAGGGCUACAGCCUCAAGAGCAGUCUGCAGCGGAGGUUAAAAUUAACGCAGUGAAAAGGAAGCUGAGAGAAGAUGAACUAACUAACCCUCAGGUCUCAGGAGGACCGGGGACUUUUCCGACUCCCCAAAGUACAUGGAUGGCCCUGCUCUUUACCCUGUGGGGAUGCCUUAUGAAAGAGUGCAGGACUCGGUUUCUGUCAGUGACCAGCUCUCCUUUCAUCAUAACCAGAAUAGAUUGCCACCAACCUCCUCUAUCUCGCAACUGCAAACUCCCUCGGCCACCUUGUCCUCCGCGCCACCUAGCUGAGAGCUCACGACACUCCAUGAAAACGAGCCGAAUGAGCAGGGCCCCUCCAACGGGCCCCCGGGCAGAUUUCCUCCUAGAGCUCUGCCCCACUUUGCCAGCCCAGGUGACCCAGGCCUCUCUUUCCACCUCUGCCUCCCCGACAUGCACCUGCCACCCCUCAAGACCUCGUUUACCCAAGUGUUCAAAAUGCCAGACGGCAAGAAUCCGCCUCGCUGGACUGGGUCAUUUGGCCCGAGUGGCAGCCACUCAUGACAGUGUGGGCAGGUUUCUCUCCCGCUGGGACCUGUCCUUCAGAUGCACCAGGCUUGGCCUUCACCAACACAACUCACCGCAGGUCCCUGCAGGUGGGUUUUCUUUUCUGAACCCAUGCUUUGGGCUCGGGCUCCA